AAGUUUUUCAGUUUCACCCACUAAAAAUCCUGGCAACCACUUCUCGGACAUUAAGAACCAAGAUGGGAGGCACUGAACUGGCAACGGGCACCACUUGUGAAUGUUAUGUUUCUCACAGAGUUCACCAUACAACAUAUUGUGAUUUGCUUUUGUCCACUGAUGGAUGAAUUGCCGCAAAGUAUUUCUCUGGAGUUCUGCAGGCAAGUAUGGUCCAG
rnacentral:lncRNA from 1 species